rnacentral:rRNA from 1 species
CAGUGGGGAAUUUUCCGCAAUGGGCGCAAGCCUGACGGAGCAACGCCGCGUGGGUGACGAAGGAUUUCGGUCUGUAAAGCCCUUUCAGUCGGGACGAGUCGCAGACGGUACCGACAGAAGAAGCAUCGGCUAACUACGUGCCAGCAGCCGCGGUAAGACGUAGGAUGCGAGCGUUGUCCGGAAUUAUUGGGCGUAAAGCGUACGUAGGCGGUCAUCUAAGUCUGGGGUUAAAGACCAAGGCUCAACCUUGGGAGUGCCCUGGAUACUGGGUGACUGGAGGACGGCAGAGGAAAGUGGAAUUCCCAGUGUAGCGGUGAAAUGCGUAGAUAUUGGGAGGAACACCAGUGGCGAAAGCGACUUUCUGGGCCGUUCCUGACGCUGAGGUACGAAAGCCAGGGGAGCAAACGGGAUUAGAUACCCCGGUAGUCCUGGCCGUAAACGAUGGAUACUAGGUGUCAUCGGUAUCAACCCCGGUGGUGCCGUAGCUAACGCGUUAAGUAUCCCGCCUGGGGAGUACGGUCGCAAGGCUGAAACUCAAUGA